UAGUGCUACAAAACUUUGCCAAUAUAUGGGU
rnacentral:piRNA from 1 species